UUCCUCUAAGGAUUGCAUCUGGAGAGUUUCCAGUACUCUACCAGUCUCGACUAUGGGAGGGAGAGUCAGGCAGAGGCCUAUCCAUUCCAUUCCUAGCUGGGCAGUGGCUAGCAAGUGGAAGGCAAUAUGCUACAAGU